CCUACGGGAGGCAGCAGUGAGGAAUAUUGGACAAUGGGCGAGAGUCUGAACCAGCCAAGUAGCGUGAGGGAUGAAUGCCCUAUGGGUGGUAAGCUUCUUUUAUAUGGGAAUAGAAUGUUCCACGUGUAGGAUUUUGUAUGUACCAUAUGAAUAAGGAUCGGCUAACUCCGUGCCAGCAGCCGCGGUAAUACGGAGGAUCCGAGCGUUAUCCGGAUUUAUUGGGUGUAAAGGGAGCGUAGGUGGAUUGUUAAGUCAGUUGUGAAAGUUUGGGGCUCAACCGGAAAACUGCAUUUGAAACUGGCAGGCUAGAGUAUAGUAGAGGUGGGCAGAAUUCGAGGUGUAGCGGUGAAAUGCGUAGAUAUCUGGAAGAACUCCGAUGGCGAAGGCAGCCCACUGGACUGAAACUGACACUGAGGUUCGAAAGUGUGGGUAUCAAACAGGAUUAGAUACCCCGGUAGUC
rnacentral:rRNA from 1 species